GAGCCCAGCACCGAAGCCUGCGGCAGAUUUGCUGUUAGGCAAUGUGGUGUUCGGGUCGGCUGGCGGGACCGUAACUCCACUCGAAGUCCAGCAUUGAGUAUGGUUAUCAUUGGAUUUGGCCCAUAGAGGGUGAGAGGCCCGUACGAGUGGAGGUGCAGACAUGUGAGACGGUUCACCAGGUCGGCCUUAGAGUCGGGUUGUUUGAGAUUGCAGCCCAAAGUGGGUGGUAAACUCCAUCCAAGGCUAAAUACGGGCACGAGUCCGAUAGCGAACAAGUACCGUGAGGGAAAGUUGAAAAGUACUCUGAAGAGAGAGUAAAUAGUACGUGAAACCGCAUGCAGGUAAACGGGUGGCGUCAAACCGCGAGCCCGGAGGAUUCAGCUGGUUGGGUUGUAAUUUGGCCAGAAUAAGAUUUAGUGGUCCGCUCUCUCUUUGUGAGAGUGGAGCAAAGUAUGAGGUGUGUGUGUGUGGCUAGGUGUUGCGCACUUGUGCUGUAGCGCUUGCCAUCACUCUUGCCUCCUCUGAGCUAUACGUGCCGGGUGGGUGCCGGAGUAUGCCACUAAUCUGUAGGGCCGCCUAGUCAGUGCAAUUUCUCCGUGGUGAACAUCACGACCGAUGGAAUUGCCAGUCCACCGUGGUCAAGUCGUGUUCAUGUGACUAUUGGAGAGUUCACUUCGGUGGUACUCUUUCAAUUUAGUUAUGUGGUCGUGAUCGCAGGUGGAGCGAGUAAACGGCGUAGUGGUGCUUCGGUAUUGCUACGUGCUAUCGUGUACUCACCGCCAACGAGUUGUUGGGUAGUAAUGUGACUAGACUGCCUAGCGACUUGGCGGACUUCGGUGGUAAAAAUGACUGUGCAAGGCAUCGGAUUUAUCCACCUCACAUAUAUGUGUACGUCUAUCCGGGCGUAUAUAUAUGUGGUUGUAUCCGGCAGGUAUUUCACAUAUACCAUAAUAAAAAUGGAGGCGCGUUGCUGUGUGUAUACAUUAUGCGUGAUUGUCGUUUUGCCUGCAAAAAGUAGGUGCGGCAGUGGUAUAGUGUAUUAUUAACGCAUAGUAUUUGUACGCUGCCUCUGGUGCAUGUGAUACAGUGGGUGUAAUAGUCAGUGAUGCUGUGGUAGACGAGCUACCCGACCCGUCUCGAAACACGGACCAAGGAGUUUAACAUGUGUGCGAGUCAAAGGGCUCUACGAAACCCCAAGGCGUAGUGAAAGUAAAAGUUGUAUUACACAUAUUUGUUGUAGUACAAUGAGGUGAGAUCUUACUGUGCAUAUGUGUGUAUUUAUACACACAUUAGAGCAGUGAGCGCAUCACCGGCCCGUCCCAUGAUGUGGUCAUUGGCAUUGAUAUGUGUAUGCAUACUUGUUGUGUAUACUAGUGUCAGCUAAUGCGUCAUCGGGGCGGAGCAUGAGCACACACGUUGAGACCCGAAAGAUGGUGAACUAUGCUUGCGUAGGUUGAAGCCAGAGGAAACUCUGGUGGAGGACCGUAGCGAUUCUGACGUGCAAAUCGAUCGUCAAACGUGAGUAUA
rnacentral:rRNA from 1 species